GCAUAUCAAUAAGCGGAGGAAAAAGAAACUAACAAAGGAUUUCCCCCUAGUAACUGCGAGUGAAGCGGGAAAAAGCUCAAAAUUUUAAAAUCUGGCGGUCUUUGGCCGUCCGAGUUGUAGUCUGGAGAAGUGCUUUCCGCGCUGGACCGUGUAUAAGUCUCUUGGAACAGAGCGUCAUAGAGGGUGAGAAUCCCGUCUUUGACACGGACUACCAGUGCUUUGUGAUGCGCUCUCAAAGAGUCGCGUUGUUUGGGAAUGCAGCGCAAAAUGGGUGGUGAAUUCCAUCUAAAGCUAAAUAUUGGCGAGAGACCGAUAGCGAACAAGUACCGUGAGGGAAAGAUGAAAAGCACUUUGGAAAGAGAGUUAAACAGUACGUGAAAUUGCUGAAAGGGAAACGCUUGAAGUCAGUCGCGUUGUCCGGGACUCAGCCUUGCUUCGGCUUGGUGCACUUUCCGGAUGACGGGCCAGCAUCGAUUUUGACCGCUGGAAAAGGGCUGGAGGAAUGUGGCACCUUCGGGUGUGUUAUAGCCUCCAGUCGCAUACGGCGGUUGGGAUCGAGGAACGCAGCACGCCUUACGGCGGGGGUUCGCCCACCUUCGUGCUUAGGAUGCUGGCAUAAUGGCUUUAAACGACCCGUCUUGAAACACGGACCAAGGAGUCUAACAUGCCUGCGAGUGUUUGGGUGGAAAACCCGAGCGCGUAAUGAAAGUGAAAGUCGGGACCUCUGUCGUGGAGGGCACCGACGCCCGGACCUGACGUUCUCUGACGGAUCCGCGGUAGAGCAUGUAUGUUGGGACCCGAAAGAUGGUGAACUAUGCCUGAAAUAGGGUGAAGCCAGAGGAAAACUCUGGUGGAGGCUCGUAGCGAUUCUGACGUGCAAAUCGAUUCGUCAAAUUUGGGUAUAGGGGGCGAAAAGACUAAUCGAAACCAUCUAGUAGCUGGUUCUGCG
rnacentral:rRNA from 1 species